rnacentral:rRNA from 1 species
UGGGGAAUAUUGCACAAUGGGCGGAAGCCUGAUGCAGCGACGCCGCGUGAGGGAUGACGGCCUUCGGGUUGUAAACCUCUUUCGACAGGGACGAAGCGCAAGUGACGGUACCUGGAGAAGAAGCGCCGGCCAACUACGUGCCAGCAGCCGCGGUAAGACGUAGGGCGCGAGCGUUGUCCGGAUUUAUUGGGCGUAAAGAGCUCGUAGGCGGCUCGUUGCGUCGGCUGUGAAAACCCGCAGCUCAACUGUGGGCUUGCAGCCGAUACGGGCGGGCUAGGAUUCGGUAGGGGAGACUGGAAUUCCUGGUGUAGCGGUGAAAUGCGCAGAUAUCAGGAGGAACACCGGUGGCGAAGGCGGGUCUCUGGGCCGAUAUCGACGCUGAGGAGCGAAAGCGUGGGGAGCGAACAG